rnacentral:lncRNA from 1 species
GGAUGCUCAUCCAUUCGGGGCUGUUAUCAGUCCACCUGUCGCAGGACCAGUCUCUCUCCCUUGGGCGCCUCUCUGAGCCUUCAGACUACUGAAGCUUCAUGUUGGCCCAUGUCAUCCCAGAGCAAGGACAGAAGAGAUGAGAGAGUGGUGUCACGAAGAAGAAUGAUUCUUUUUGGUAUUGUACUCUUUUAGAGGACAUCAAAUGCAUUUCAGAUCUAGAGCACUUAGACUCAGCAACUGAAGAAUGAGUAGGAGUCUUUCAGAAGUCCAAUGAAAAUGUCAAGGCUCCUGGAAAAUUCCUCAUGCCCAGUGACUUUCUACUUACUCAGCUAAAACUCAGGUAUAGUGUAAAUGCCUGACAAGAGGCUUUUUUGGUUGUAAUGUAAGUGGCUGACAUUAAGCUUUUGAUUGCUGAGGCAUUGGUUUCAAAGGCGUAGAUGUAGAAUAAGCAAAUUGCCAACUGUGUGACACAGUUACUAGCUAAACAACUAGAAAAGGAACCAGGCUGCCCCCACCCAUGAAGUUCUCCUUUAAGAAAGCCCUGGAUAACCUAGAUAACUGACCACUUGAGUGAUCCCACGCUCUAAUUCCUGUUCUUGUGUCUUAAAUUUGCCAACAAAGAGUGAACCUGUGAAACCCUAGGUCCCCACCCUCUACUCCAAUAAAGGCAGAACCCCAGGUACACACUUUCUUUCUCUCUCUCUCUACCAGUGACCUCACUGUGUGGCCCCAGGCAUGCCCAUGUGUACUCUCCAGGACUUGUCAGUAAUACACUUGAUUUUUCAAAGUUCCCUGAUGCUGAUUUAUGUCUUACAAUCAGAAUAAGAACUGCUAGGACCAGUCUAAAUUGUUUGGUGUAGGGAAA